rnacentral:ribozyme from 1 species
AUUUUGAUUGGCUCUGCAAUGGGAUAGGACUCCGAAGCUCCUCUGAGACACGUCACCUCAAUCCGGACAUGUCCCAGUUCGUGCAGAGUGGUAACUUGGGUCAUCAAAUAUCCAAGAAUGGGUACACGGGCUUGUUCCAACCCCUUGGGCGGAUGAUGGCCUAUGGCUAAUCGGGAGGGU